AUUCCAGCUCCAAUAGCGUAUAUUAAAGUUGUUGCAGUUAAAAAGCUCGUAGUUGGAUUUCCGGCGUGAGGGAUCAGUCUGACUUCUAGUCAGUACUUGGUCCUCUCAUGCCGUCCUUGAAUGGUGCAUCCUGGCAUUAAGUUGUCGGGGUGAGAGCCGUUCAUCGUUUACUGUGAGAAAAUUAGAGUGUUCAAAGCAGGCUUAUGCCGUUGAAUAUAUUAGCAUGGAAUAAUAAGAUAGGACUUUGGUACUAUUUUGUUGGUUUGAGAACCAAGGUAAUGAUCAAUAGGGACAGUUGGGGGUAUUCGUAUUCAGUUGUCAGAGGUGAAAUUCUUGGAUUUACGAAAGAUAAACUUCUGCGAAAGCAUUCGGCAAGGAUGUUUUCAUCG
rnacentral:rRNA from 1 species